AGCGGGGUGGAGCAGUCUGGAGUGCUCAUCGGGCUCAUAACCCGAAGGUCGAAGGUUCAAAUCCUUCCUCCGCUA
rnacentral:tRNA from 1 species